rnacentral:lncRNA from 1 species
UAUAGUGAUGAAAGAUCUGUCUGUAUGCUGAGUGGCGCCGAGCGUUAGGUCUGGCUCAGGACACGGCGGGUAACAAUGACAGAGCAUCAACAAGCCUUUUGCACAAUCCAUUUCUUUGAGGUGGUUAGGCUUCAGCCCUAAGGAUUCUGAUAUGAGCUCAAAUAUUAACUCCCCAAACAUCAUCACUCUCUUUGAGUAGUCCAACAUGAUCUCCCUAAAACAUUGAACAUAAAUAAACUCUCAAAACCCAUCAAACAAAAAUAUUAAGUUAGUCCAAAGAUUAAUUUAAAACAAGAGAAGCCGUGUUCGUACCUACAAAUGUCUGGUAACUCAUCGGUUUUGGGAACAUCAGGGAACAUAAAACAACUUAAGGUAUCUCUCCAGCUCGCAGCAGGAGAGUCAUAGAGAUCAGAGUUAGAGUUAUACUUUAUCGCUUUGUCCUGUAGUAGAUCACCAACAUUAAGGAUAAGAGCAUUCGGAUUAGGAGGAACAUCGAUCCAGUAUCCAUCAUGGAGAACUUGAAGUCCUCCAAUGUGGUCUUGAAGAAGAAUAGUGAUGAAAGAUCUGUCUGUAUGCUGAGUGGCACCGAGUGUUCGGUCUGGCUCAGGACACGGCGGGUAGCAAUGACAAAGCAUCAACAAGCCUUUUGCAAAAUCCAUUUCUUUGAGGUGGUUAGGCUUCAGCCCUAAGGAUUCUGAUAUGAGCUCAAAGAUUAACUCCCCAAACCUCAUCACUCUCUUUGAGUAGUCCAACAUGAUCUCCCUAAAACAUUCAACAUAAAUAAGCUCUCAAAACCCAUCAAAGAAAAACAUUAAGUUAGUACAUAGAUUAAUUUAAAACAAGAGAAGCCGUGUUCGUACCUACAAAUAUCUGGUAAGUCAUCGGUUUUGGGAACAUCAGGGAACAUAAAACAACUUAAGGUAUCUCUCCAGCUCGCAGCAGGAGAGUCAUAGAGAUCAGAGUUAGAGUUAUACUUAAUCGCCUUGGUUUUUUCACGGCUAUAGAACCUUUUCCUCGCUUCUGGAUCUUGCGCGUGAAACGCACGGAUCCCAUCUUUCAUCUUCUCCAUGACCUCAAGUGGAAUCCCAUGAUUUAUCGCCUGGAAGAAACCAAACUUCUCCAUGGCGCCUUUCACCUUCUCAGUCACUUCCUUUCUUGUGACCGUGGACUCGAACACGCCACCUCCGAGAUCUAUCGUUGGGAUAGUCAAGGUAGAAGGAGGUUUAGGGUUAGUUACCGUGGCUUGCGGGUUAUGGAAUAUGCGUGGGAUUUUUGUGAUUCCAGCGUCGACGAGACCCUUCACGCCGAUUUUCAUCUCGUCGAAUGCUUGUACCUCGCCGGCACGGUUAAAUGUUCCCACCAUUGUACACUUGGACUCCAACCUUUUUUUUAGUGCUUUAUGAAACAGGGAAACUUGUGUUUUGAGUCACCUAGCUCUGUCUCUAUAUAUAAGGAGGGAAAACUGGUGAAGGCAUGAAAUAGAGCGCAAAGAGAAGGAGAUAUAUUGAGAUACCGUCUGUAUUAUUAAUAUCAUAAAAGAUAUUAUCAAUUUUAUAUCAUAUUAUUAAAAAUUAUUAUCAUAUCAUCGAGAUGUGUAUCUUUUAGGUUAUGAACGGAAACCAUAGUGCGGUGCAUAUUUGGAAUUGAUAUCCUUUUGAAGUUAUAAAUGUCAGCAACCAUAGUGCGGUGCAUAUUUGGAAUUGAUGUGAUUUUAAAAUUAUAAGUGUUUUGAGUCACCUAGCUCUGUCCCUAUAUAUAAGGAAGGAAAACUGGUGAAGGCAUGAGAUAGAGGCCAAAGAGAAGGACGGGUCGUGUAAUCAAUCCAUUCAGCGGCGCGCGUGCCAAUACAUAAAAAAUAAUACUCUAAAAAUUGGUUUAGAAAAGAGUCAUUUAAGCUUCAGAAAGUGAGAUUUAGAGUAAACGCUAGGACGAUUUGUAUAUCUUAUAAAUAGAUCAUACUUACCCAAGAAAAAUAUUAUGCUAAAAGAAUGGAUAUCACUCAAAGCUGUAAUAGGAUAAUUUUUUUCUUUACAAAAGUCAAAUUAAUAACAAUGCACAAUCGACUAUCUAAUUACUCGAACAUGAUUUUCCGAAGUAUUGUCGUUGUUGUGCACUACGUUGCACGGAAGCUUCAUCGGACGUCCGCUUCCCGCUUCGGAACCGGAAUCGGAAUCGGAACCUUGUGGAAGCUUACGGAAUCUCGCUUCCAGAACGCUUCCAAAAUAUUCUUUUUAAAAACACGUUGGAAGCUUAUGAUUCCAUUUUGAAAUCACGCUUCCGUUCUUUAAAAAAAAUACAAGGUUGAAUAUCAAUAAAAAUAUAAUCGUAGUUAUUAAUUUCUGUAAAAUCAAAAUUUUAAUAGUAAUGAAUAGAGAGGAUAUAAAUAUAUAAAUAUUAAAAUUAAUACUAUAAAUUAUCUUUAUGUAUUGAGGUUUUUAUUAAACAUAUAUCAUAUAUUCAAAUAUAUUGUGUCAAUUAUUUAUGAAGCAUUAACAAUAAUUAAUAUAAUAAUUUCUUUUAAACUUAAUUUAUGUCUAUUUUCACAGUUUUAAUAUGAAAUCAUUACAAAAUUAUUACAAAUGAAUAAAUAAUUUAUUUAAAUUUAUAACUUAUAAUUUUUAGUCCUAAUUUUUUUAAGAAAAUCUUAUAUUUUAAUAUAUAUAUAUAUAUAUAUACAUAUGGAUAUACGCUUCCAAUACGUACCCGCUUCCUAAUUUUUCAAAAAAUCUCGCUUCUGCGCUUCCAUACGCUUCCGCUUCCGCGUACCCGCGGCACAAGCAUAUGACUAAGGUUUAUUAUUCUUCUUUGGAGAGCUAGGUAAUUUUUUUUUGUUUUUUGGUUUGGAGAGCUAGGUAAAUUCUUCUGGAUGAAAUUUGUAUCUUUGUUUAUCAAAUCGUGUUUAUAUUUUCUUCCAUUUAUUAGUGUAUUAACCUUACUUAACUUAUUAUACUGGAAACUUGAAAGAUGUUCUGAUAUUCCAAGUAUAGUAAUUUGCUGAUAUCAUUUCGUAGUAGUUAACCUGAAGCCAUUAAUUGGAUUAAAAAAGGUUAACAUUAAUUAUUAAGGGUUGAACGUGGAUGACAGAGAACCAAGGAGAUAUGUUAAGAUAUCGUCAGUAUUAUUAAUGUCAAAAAGAGAUCAUCAAUAUUAUAUCAUACUCCUAUUAUUAAAAAUAAUUAUCUUUUCAUCGAGAUGUGUAUCUUUUAGGCCUAAUUAGAAUUAUUUUAUCAUAUUAUCAAUAAUAUAUCAUAUUAUCAAUAAUUUAUCAUAUUAAUAAAUCAUUUUUAUAUUAUGAAUGGAAACCAAAGCGCGGUGCAUCUUUGGAAUUGAUGUGAUUUAAAAGUUAUAAAUGUCAGCAAUAAUAAGUAAAAAUGCAAUUUCAAGAAUGUUUCUAUAAAUAUUUCCUUUUUUAUUACAUAUGGUUUGGGAAAACUAAAAAAUGAAACUAAACCUAAAAUUUUAAUUGAAAAACUAUUAUGUAAAAUUGAAAAUAUCUUUUUAUAAUAACAUUAUAUAUAUUAUUUUAGUUUUUUGUCAACAUAUAACAUUUUCGUUAUAUAUCAUAAUCAUUAAUUGUAAAACCAAAAUAAGAACAACAUAGAAAAACUGACUUAUAUAAUAGAUUUUCAAUUGUAAACUUUCACUGAUCUAUAUUUUGUUAACCAUGAUGCAUAAAUUGUUUAAAUAGGUAAUGCUAACAAAAUGAGAUCUGAUCCGAGAUAGAAAAAGCAUGUGACUUUCUAUUAGGGCUGAGUCGUUACUAUAAAAGGGUUUUGGACAAAAAAAAAUAUCUUAUAUAUUAAAAUAGAAGUCAAAACUUUGAUUCAUGUGUGAUUUUUUUAAAAAUGAAUCUAAUAGACAUAUUCCUAGAAAAUCAUGUUACAUUUAAUCUCUAAUCUUAUCAUUUAAAUUUUGGGUCUGCCAAAAUUUUUUAUUGGACUAUCAAUAAUUGGAUUUAAACAAUAGAUAAUCCAUUUGAUUUAUAGAUAGUAUAAAUUAAAUAAAUAUAAUUUAAUGUUGUAAUACUAUAUCUCUAUAUGUUAAAUAUUUAAAUAUUUGUCGAUGUUAACUUUUAAAAUUAUAAAGAUUUUUUUUAAAUAACAAAAAUCAUAUUAUCUAACAAUGAUUAAUCUUUACUACCUUAAACCAAUGAAAACAAAUUUAAAACUAUAUGAUUUAUUUUAAAAAACAAAAACUAAAUGUUUAAUUAUUUACUCGAUAAUAUAAAUUUAUGAAGCGAAAAGUUUAUUUUUUUAAAAACUUUCUAAUUUUUGAGAUGUUACAAUAUCUUUGAAUAUAACAAUAAAACAAUAUUUUACUAAUCGUUAUAUAUAGUUACGAUUUUAAUAAUGAAAUAAUAAUCCGAAAAUAUAUAUAUAUAAAAAGAUACAAAUACAUGUGAAAGUUUGAAAUAAUAUAUUCAAUCAAAAAAAUAUACCGUAAAAUUAUUAUGUUUUAAAAAUUGAUAGACACAUAUAUAUUAUAAUAUAUAUCAAUUUAGAAUGGAAAACAAAAUAUUUAUAUAAAAAUAAAUGAAAACAAACCGCGCGGAUCGAGAUCUAGUUAUAUAUUGAGUAGGAAGCAUUUUAAUAUAUUAGUCCUGUUGAUAUGAUAUUAGUAUAAUAAUUUUUAGAGUCACUAUAAAAACAAGUUAAAAUUAUUAGAAAUAUAUCAUUCAUUAAAAUUCAUUAGGUACAGUUCAUCCUAACUUUGAGUUUCUCUAUGACACAAACAUGAGGUGUUGCACCUUCUAUCAUUCCUCGAUGUCGACGUCGUCGCUGUUCAUCCCCGCCUUUCGCUCUCUUCAUCAUUGCCGAUUCUUUUGGUCCAGUUCUUAGUCUCUGCUUCAAAUCUACUCUUGUCUUCAACGGAAAAAUAAACCUAUUUCAAUAUGAACUUUAUUCAUGGUGCCUAUUCUUUUACGAAUUGGUAGUAUUGAAUAUAUAUUUUAUAUUGAACUGAACAAAAAUCUAAAAAUACUAUAGGAACUUUAAGUAUUGUGCUUUUCCAUUCUUGAAUUUUAUAAUAGUGCAUAUUUCAUACUAGACUAAACAAAAAUUCAAAAAUAUUACAUGAAUUUUCAAAAUCGUGCUUAUAUAUAUAUAUAUUGAUCAUCAAAGGUAUUAGUCAUCCGUAAAUUUAUAAAAACACAUUAUUUUGGAUACUCUAUAAAACUAAAAUUUUAAAAAUACUACAUGAACUCUCAAACAUAUAUAUAUGGACAGUCAAAAGUGUUAGUCAUCCCUUAAUUUAUCAAAACACGUCAUUUUGGAUAAAUUAUAUUAAAUGAAAAAUUACUUUUGGAAGAUUUAAACUCUCACACUGGUGGAUAAGUAUAGUGUAAAUAUUUAAAUUAAUAAUAAAUAUUUAAAAUUAUAAAAUAAUGAUUUAAAAGUUAAAUUUUAAUAAAUAAAUAAUUGUAGAUUUAUUUGAUAAAACUAAAACAAUAAAAAUUUGAUAAGAUUUAUUUUAUUAAGCUAAAACUUAUAUAAGUUAAUGUUUAAACAAUUUAUACAAGAAAAUUAUUUUGGUCUAUCAGUUAAUAUGAUCUUACUUGUCCAUCAGUGUGAGAGUUCGAACCUCUCAAAAAUUAAUUUUUAGUUUUACAAAAUUAUUCUAAAUAACGUUGUUUUGAUAAAUUAACGGAUGACUUACAUAUUUGAGGGUCAAUAUAUGAGCAAGAUUUUGAGAGUUCAUCUAUUUUAAAUUUAUAAUUUUACAUAAUUUAUCCAAAAUGAUGUCAUUUUAAUAAAUUAACUAGGAUACGACCUGCGCCUUGCGCAGGGUAAAUUUAUAUAAAAAUGAUUUAAGAAAUAUUGUAUUAAAAAAAAUUAUAUUCUUGACCGACUUAAUAUUUUGGCCGUUAAACAAUUUUUUUAAACUUUUUGUUAAUUACAUAAUUUCUUUACUGAUGAGAUGAUUCUAUUUCUUAAAACUAUUUUAGGUCAAAAAAUCAAUUAUCGCAUAAGAACUUAACGUUUAGACCGAAGAAUCUCAAGUCUACUAUUUGGUUACAAUAAAACUGCGUUACCUCGGUUUUAUAUCAUGAUUUAGCAAUCCUAUCUAUCUUCGAUAUUUUUCUCUUGUCUGUGUAUCUUUUUCAUUUUGGUUAUUGUUCGAUACAAAUAUUGAUUUAGGAAUUUAUUCUCAUUUCGUUCGUUUAUUUUGGCUUGAGAUUUAGAAAAUAUUUAAGAUUUAAAAUUAUUAAUGAGAUACAUAUUUAGGCUAAGAUCCACGCCUUGUGGAGAAUAAAAUAUUUUAUAUUUAUUACUUAUUUUAUGUUUUUCUGCAUAUUAUGAAAUAAUAAAAUAAUAAUUAUAUAUAUUAAAUAACUGAGAAAUCAGUUACUAUUAUGUAAUAAAUUGGCGUGCUCAUAUAAAUCAAACAACCAAAUCUUGUUUAUUCGCAAUCAUUUUAGGAUAAAUAAAUCAAAACAAUAAAUCUUAUCUAUUAGUAUAUGAUAUAUAAUUAAAUUUAAAUGAUAUUAACAUAGAUGUAUAGUAUAAUUUUAAUAUGGAUUUUUAUUAAAUGAGGUUUCUACUCAUGAUUUUAUGAUUAUUUGCAUAUUUAUGUAACAAAAAUUUUUUGAUGUGGGAUUUUUAUUAGUUUCAAUAAUUUAUAAUCAUUAAAAAAACACCAUGAAAUUUUCAAAAUUAAAAUAUUAACUUUUCAGUAUAUGGUCAAUGCAAAUAUCAAAAUAUUAGUAUGUAUUUUCAUAUGAAGUUUAGUUUAAUUUAAACGAUAUAAUAUAUAUAUACAUAAAAACCUAUUUAAAUAAAAUUAUUUAUUCAUAUAGUCUUAUAAUCAUUGUAUCUUAAUAUAAAAAAAAUUAAAGCUUAAUCACAAAAGGUAUGGAAGACUUUUAACAGUUUUAGUAUUUUAUAUACAAAAAAAACCUAAUUUUUUAUUAUAUGAUUAAUGUAAUUGUGCAAUUUAUUUAAAUAAUAAAGAACUAAAAAAAAAUGUUAGAAAGUAUACAUAUGGUUAUCAAAUAUUUAUUAUUUAAAAUCAUUAAUUGCCAUAUAUAUAUUUUAAUCACAUUAGGUAAUUCUGUAUGUUUUAUUUAAGGAAAGAAUAGAGAAUAAAUUUUAAUUUGAUAAAUGAAUGAUCCAUAAUGGACAUACUAUAUAAUAUAACAUUUCGUACCAAUUUAACUUUAGACUAACAAAAUUCUAGCAUUCCAAUUAUGUAACAACUCAACAUGACACUUUUUAAUUAGUACAAUUACAAGUUAUAAUUUUUAAUUGUUUCUCUAUUAAUAUAUAAGGGAUUAAUAAAAAGCGUCUAUUUUUAACCACCAAAUAUAGAGUUUCUAGUUUGUAAGUAUAUAAAUAUUGGUUAUGAGAGACAAAAUAUAGUAAUUUGCAUCCCGUAAUAUUUAGUGUAUUAUUUCCAAUUUAUUUGUCAUCAUAUUAAGUAUUUCUUGAUAACAAAGAAAAUAGUUUGAUAACGAAGAACACAACUUCGGGUAAAUUCAUAAAGUAAAAAUAAUGUCAUUAAUUACCCUUUAAGUUUAUUCACCACACAAAAUCUUUAGCAUGAUUUAAUGGUUAUCAAAUGUAAAAGAUAUCAUAUACCUCAAAGAUACCGAAAACAUAUUUGUAAUAUAGUCUUUACCAUGUAUGAUAAUAGCAUUCUCGUACCGAAGGUUCAACAAACAAAUUUUGGUGCAUAUUAAAUUGGCUAGACUCCGUCUUUUGCGUUAAAAUAAGUCAAUUACCAUAUUUGGUAUCAUCAAGUCAUAUUACACAUUUUUAUUUGGUAUCAUCAAGUCAUAUUACAUAUUUUAAAAAUGUGUUUAGAUGCUUUCUUGACUCCGUCUUGUGUGUAUAAAAGAGUCAGCCAAGUUUAUCUCUUCCCAGAGAAUAAUGUUGGUUUCUCAUGACACAUUUAACUCAGUGUAGAGCGAUUAAUAUUGGUUAUAAAUAACUCUUUCUAGCCAAGUUUGAAUCCAUUCAAAAGUAAGGCUUGAGAAACGUUUUUGCUUGUGUUACGAAUGAACAUGGAACUUAUGACAUAACAUAACUGAAAUGACAUUAUAUCGAAUGUCAACCAUUACGCAACUUAAAUGAAAAACCGUAGGGGAGAUUGGAUGAUGACAAAUAAAAAUUAGUAAUUUUAACAAAAUAAUGUAUCCAUAACUCUAUAGCUUGUGUUUUACCAAGAAAAAAAACUACAGCUUGUGAGAGAAUUAUACUUUCAGUUAUUAAUGUGUGUAGGCGCUAGACAUAUAGAACUAAAGGGCAAUGCUAUAGAGACGGACGACUACGACCCUAUGAUUUCUGAAGGUGAUAAAGAACAUAAUAAAUAGCAUGUAAGUUUUUAUUAUAUAUCAACUGAGAGUAAAGAACUAUACCAAUAUCAUAAGUUGGAGAAAGAUGUCGAGAUAAUUAAAAAAUGAAAUUGGACAAAGAUGUGUGUUGAACAAAGAUUUGGAGAUAUACCAAAAAUAUAUGCUGUCAAUAGUUUUUUGGGUCUAUGCUAAUGUUUUGUUUGUGAUAAUGAUUACUGGAAAACGUAUUUCACUUAUCAAAAGGGUUGUGGUUAACUUUAUUGAUAAUGAUGAUAAUAACGUGAAAACGAAUUGCAGGUUUCCAUAUUUUCAAAGAAUAUUAAUUUAAUAGCCUUGAUGUCGAAGAAUAUUAACUUGAGAUCUUGAAUAUUAAAUUUAUCAUAUACAUUCUAUACAUUCUUUACAUUAUAUACAUUUGUAUUUGAGUUAAUAUAAAUUUUUCUAGCAAUUAGAUUUUGGACUUACUAAUUUUUCAAUUGAUUCUUAUGCUGCUACAUAAACCAAAUCGACAUUUUAAUUAAAUGACACAUAGGCAAUGUUUUUUUUAAUUAAUACAAACUUAAGUUUACGACUUUUUUAAUGAUUUUCAAUUAAUAUAUAAGGGAUAUAUAUACAUAUAUAUAUAAGCAUGAUUUUGAGAGUUCAUGUAGUAUUUUUAAAUUUUUGUUUAGUUCACUAUGAAAUAUGUACUAUUAUAAAGUUCGAGAAUUAAAAAGCAUGAUGCGUAAAGUACAUACAGUAUUUUUGAAUUUUUGUUUAGUUCAGUAUAAAAUAUGUACCGCUGCAAAAUACAAAAACCAUUUCCCCGUCUUCAGCGGUGACGAAUUCUUGGGGCUCGACCUGCUUGGUUUCAAGCGCCGGUCCCAUGCUCAGUUUAUGCUUCGUUGUUUGUUUCUUUGAGAGUUCCUGGAAAAUCAUGUCAAGAAAUUUUAUUCUUAAUAGUAUCAUUUAAAAUAAAAACUAAUCUUUAUUUAUGGUAAUUAUAUAUCACAAUUUGUAAUAAUUACAUAUCGAUAUAAAUGUGUGAGAUUCUAAUUAUACUCCAAAAAGUAUAUAUGUUAGUCUUUGAAUAUACAAGGGUUGAAGAUUUAUUUUAAAUCAUCACUAAAUUAAAUUUUGUUGUAUGUUGUACGUGUAUUUUGGGUAACAAUUCUAUUUUCUUUUUAUUAAAAACAGUGACAUAUUUAAAGAAAAUAUGGUAAAAUUAAAAUGCACAAUUCAUGGUAGAAAAAUACAAAAUCCAACAGAAAGCUAUAAAAGUGAUUAAAUUUUGUAAACAAGGAUACGAAAUUGGCUUUAAGAUAUUAAUUGUUUUAAAAACAAAUAUAACUAAUACUUUAGGUAUAUAAACAGUAUUUCAUGUAUUUGAUUACCUUUUUGUUUUUAAUAUAGAAAUACUUUAGUUCGGAGUAUUUGAACAUAGAAAUACAUGAACUGUUUUAAGAUUAUUUAGAUACAAGUUUAGUUGUUUUAAUUUGGUUCUGGAAAAAAGUCCAUGCCUAGUCAUAUAUCUCAACCGAAGAUACUGAUCGUUCUAAGUCUAGAUUAUUAGAUACACGACAAUAUAUAUGAUUAUAGACCAAAUGUGAAAAAUAGACAUAGUAUUCCACAUGUAUUCUUGUGAAUUUAUUCUACACAAUAAAUCUUAGUGAACACAUUAUGGUCCAUCUUUUACUAUUUAGAUCCUUAGGUGGAGCAAAUUAAGGAGAGGCUCCAUUGAGUCCUCUAGCCAAGUAAUGCCUCACCAUGUCGGUCGUCGUGGUCUCGCUGUGCUUGGGAGGUUUUGUUUAGAAACAAGCUCUUUAAGAGUGGCAUAUACUUGCUCAUUUGGGAUUUUUCAGAAAUUGUGUUUAGAAAAAAAUCAAGAAUAUAUUUGCCUGUAAGAGAUCUCCGAGGUUAACGAUAAGAGCUUUCGGAUUAGGAGGAACAUCGAUCCAGCAUCCAUCAUGGAGAACUUGAAGACAUCCAUUAUGGUCUUGAAGAAGAAUAGUGAUAAAAGAUACAUAUGUGUGUGAACUUAUGCCAAAGGUUAGGUCAGGCUCAGGACAAGGCGGGGAGUAAUAAGAGAGCAAUGAUAAGCUUUGCGGUGUCCAGUUCUUUGAGGUGGCUAGGUUUUAAACCAAGAACUUCUGAUAAAAUUUCAAAGAUUAUCAUUUUGUGUACUCCAACAUGAUCUCUCUGAAAUAUUAAUCACGUACACUUCAUAAUUAGUAAUUUAUAUAUAGAAGAUUACCAUAAAACAAAAAUAAUUAUAUAUAGAAAAUAAGUCCUCAACUAAAUCAAAUAUCUUGUGUAGUCUUAAUUAAUUCUAUUAGAGCUAGAAAUGAACUAUAAAAAAUCAAUUAUAUUUCCACAUUAUUCAGAGUACUUUGGAACAAGAAUUUAUUUUUUGGAUUAAUUUGGAGACAUCCCAAAUCUACAGAAGAGCCAAAACUAAUCCUCUAAUGAAAGAUGUUGUUUACGGAUAGACCUUCUUGUCGGAUGUUCAAAUAAAAUCUAAAUCAUGGCCACAUAUCUGUGUGAUCACACAUAUUUAGUGUCGUAUGGUUGUUUCGAACCUGAGUCGCUUAACUCACAUGAAUUCGCCUACUACUUUUUUUAUGUGUGAUUAACAACAAUUUUUGCCUCUGUGGUAUAUAUAAUCUAUUAGCAAAUUCUUUUGUAAAUAUCCGUAAAUAAAAUGUAAAUUAAAUUCCAAUAUAUUUACUGUAUUUUGUUGUUAGGUUUUUAUUUAUAAUUUUUAUUAAAAGUGAUUUAAAUUUGGUACAAUAGUAGAAUGUCACGUUCUUAAAAUACAAUAUUUUAUUUUGAUUUAAGAAAACUUCCUAAAAUAGAAAAAUCGGGGUUUUAGAUUAUAAAUAAAUAUAUAAAAUUUUAUAAAUUAUUCUUCAUAUCACUAAUAAAAAUCUAGACAUUGGUAUUUUAUCUCAGUGGAGUAUUUCUCUGGUUUUUAGUUUUAUUCAAGUUUUAUUUUUACUCACAAACAAUAAUCAAUUUUGUUUUUUUUUUUUAAGAUUUGUUUUUAACUUGAACAGUUUAGCUCUCUAGCAUAAUAUAGCAGCAACUUGGGCUAAAUUGAAAUAAUACUUUUCCAAUUAAAAGCCAUAUGUAUGCGUGGACCUAUAAUUUAAAUGGAUUAUCCGAACACGAACCGAACCCAAACCUAACCCGCAAAGAUCCAAACCGAACCUGUACCAAAAUUUAGAAAUACCCGAAUGGAGCUGAAAUCUUUGACUCCGAAAAUCCGAAACCCUAAUAGAUCCGAACCGAACCCGAAUGGGUAUCCGAACGCCCACCCUAUAUCUAUAUAUCUUUCUAUCUAUCUAUCUAUAUUAUUAAAACCGAAGUACAUCUAGGAACUAACCCUUAAAACUACAGUUUAUUUACAUCUAAAUGCCACUGAAAUGAUAAUAAGUCUAACUUGAUUAUUUAUUAUCUUUUUUAAAAAAAAUUAAUUAAUAGUUUCCUAAAUCGAAUGUAAAAUAAGUAGAUAAUCAGUUUAGAUAUUUAAGGGAGUAGAUUCCGUUAUGCUUAAUUGCCAAGAAUAUAAUAACAAAAAAAUAAUAAUUGACACGUAGAUUUUAAAAUCUAACGCCCAUAAAGAGAGACGGAUAAUUUUUAAUCUCAAAUUUGAUUUAUUACUGGCUUCUAAAAAACUCAUAGAAUAUUUUGCUCGCAAAUAUUAGUCCUGUUCAUCGUCAAUUUGGGGUUAAUAUGUUGAGAACUUGCUAUAUGUUAUAUUUCAAUUAAAGUAACAUAUAGUUUACAGAGUUAGAGAAAAUCCAAUUCAUCAUUAUUUUAUAUGUUGAUUUCUUUCUGUUUUUCAAGUAGCAUGUUUUUAGAUCUUCACAAAAGAACUCUCCAAGUUGCAUGUUUUAACCUGCUAGAUCUUUAACCUGCUAGGUUUUUUUUGACAAAAAAAUGCACAGCACAACAGUUUUCUAACUAACCGAUAUAAGUUUAAUCGGGACCAACAUAAAUGAAUUCUUAAAUUUAUUGCGUUAAAGACCGACUUAUGUGUUUUAUUUGUACUUUUGUACCAAUUUAAUUCAUAUCUGAAUACAAAAAUCUUUAAGAAUAUUCCUUAUUUAUUAGAAAACAAAUCAAUCAAUUAUUUCUGAAUCCAAUUUCUUUCCUUUGAAGGAUUAUAUGCUACUGACUAUCUUUAUUUUUGACAUAAAAAUACUUUUUUAUAAAGAUAGAUUUAUUAGUAUACAUAAAAAAUGUUAUAUAUAUGAACUAUAAAUUUAUUGUGUUUAUUCAUAAUAUAUAUAAAGAUAGAUUUAUUAAUAUACAUAAAAAAUGUUAUAUAUACACAAUACAGUUGUGUAUUGUGUUUAAAAAUGUGUUUGGAAACACAAUACAGUUGUUAUUUUGGUUCAAAAAACAAACCAAAAUAAUUCAAUAUGAACUAUAAAUUUAUUGUGUUUUAAAAUGUUAUAUAAAAUAAUUAUUUUAAUACAGAUAAAUUUUAAUGUACAUAUUAUCAUUUUUAUAAAAUAAAAAUAAACAUCCGUACGGGCGUGCGGAUCAAGCUCUAAUAUACUAUUAUAUGAUGAUCGAUUUAGUAAUGGAAGAAUUUGUCAAAUAACCAAAUCUGGAGUGAAAAUUAGGUAAAUGUCAUUGAUUUUGACAUAAUAUAAUUUCUAAUAUUUGUGUCAUAAAAUAUCCGGUUAUAUCCGUUCUCUUUAUAGGUAGCAGGUAAAGGAGAGAGAGUGAGCUACGUGGUUGAUAAAACAUAAGGUCAAAAGCAUCCGAAAACUAUUGUACAUUAAAAAAGAAAAGCCAUCCACGUAUAAGUUUACUAAAUGUUGUGAAACUAAUGGAAAAGUCUAUCAUUAUUCAUAACAUAGAGGUUCUUUAUAUAGGAGAUUACACCGUCAUAGAUAAAUGGAAAGAUUACAAAUCAUAAUCUUUUGGUUAUGAACAAUUCACAAUCUGGUUCAUAACACUUAUUCGUUGGUGCUUUACAAGCUGGUUUAUAUAUGACUUAGUCAUUCUUUUUCGGGUCAGCAAAUGUGUCUGGCAUUUGAUUAGCUAGCUUUGUAAAUGUAUAAUCUUUGGACAUCUAUUUCACAUUCUUUAGUCUGAUGAAUCAUUCAUUCAUUUAAUCUAAGCAGACAAUGUAAUAGAUAUAAAUUCAAGGAGAUAUAAAUCAGAGAAAGCAUACAAGCAAAGGAAUCACACAAGUUUGUUGUUGAAAUCAGAUUAUCAACUUGAUUCUUUUAGGCAAUCAUAAGUCUCAUACUCCAUAAGAUCAUCUUGAUCAUGUUCGAAAUUAUUUUCACCAUCUUUAUAGACUAAGUGGGUUUCAGGAUUUUUCCCUUUCAGACUCUCUUGGGAGUCCUUCAUAUCUUAGUCCAAUGGUUUCCCAUUCCACAUCUAUGGCACACUGAUUUGGUCGAGCUUUGUGGUUUAAAGGAUAUACCACGGCCACUGCCUUGACCAUGGCUCAAAUUGGGUUGAUACCCACGACCUCUGCCAUAGUGAUUCCCACAGCCAAAUUUGUUAUAGUGGUCAUGGCCACGUCCUUUCCACCCUCCACGGCCAUGGCCGUGUGGUCUAUCAUUCUAGACGUAGUUACCCUUUUUUUUCUGCGGCCUUAUUGGUAUCAGGUAAUGGGGUUAAUCCAAGAGGUCUCAAUUCACUGUUUCCUAUCAGUAAUCCAUUAUUUUGCCCAGCUAGCAAUAGACUCAUCCACGGACUUAUAGUCCUGGAUUCUGGGAUUCUUCCAAUCAAAUAGGGCUUUUGGUAAUAACACCGUUCUUUGGUGAUCAUAUCUCGAUUUUCUUAACUCUGUCCAAUGGCCUAGAGGAUUCUCUAUAGUCAGAUAUUGAUCUUUGAGACUCUUAAUAAGAUGAUGGCUAAUAAUUAAUAUUACCCUGUAUCAAUCUUUCUCAUUUGGCAUUAUCGCCUUUGUGAUUAAUUCACCAAGUCUUUUGACUUUAGGAUAAACUCAGUAUCCAGUGCUCAUUUCAAAUAAUUAUCUCCUGAGAGAUUUAGGGCAGCAAAAUUCAAGUUGAUUUUCGACAUCUCAAAUCAUAUCAAUCAAUUUUAGAUCUCAUAAAAUAUUUAACAUACGGCCAUAAACAAGACAUGCUAUCAAGUCAAUACAUUUCUAAUAAGCAAAAAAGCCACACGGCCAAAGGUGAUAUAAUGCAAUAAUAAGUCACACAGAUUUAUCAAGCAAGGGUAUCGACCAAACAAGCAAUUUCUAUAUGUUUUCAUGUGGCCAUACGGUUAUAAUGCAAACCUAGCAUACUGAUUCUAUAUGUACAGGAGUGAAAUUAUGAAACCUCAAUUUAAAACAAUCAGAUCAUGCAAAGGUGAUAAUAAUCAGAUCAUGCACAUAACAUAAACAUGUUGGUCAGGAUGAUAUAUGAUGAAAACUGGCCACACGGCCAAGUAGAUAUGAUGCACUCAUUCUUAGCAAUCGGAUUCUAUAUGUGCAAGGGUAAUAUUAAAACAUUCAAUCAAGGUUUAGCAAUUAAUCAAUCAGUUUCAGGUAUGAGAUUUAGCUAGACUAACAAUCAGAUUCAAUUAGGUUUUAUCAAGACUAGCAAUUGGAUCAAUAAUCAAAAAUAAUCAAACGGAUUCAAGCAUUACACAAUUUAGAGUUUCGAUCCAAAAAUAGGGUUUCAAUCAUGAAAAACCAAAACAAUCAGUUUCAAGGCUGAUUCUAUCAAUUUUGUUAAUCAGUUUCAAGGCUGAUAUUUAUCAGUUUCAAAGCUGAUAUUAGCAAGAUGGAAUCAAGCAAUCUGAUUUUAGGAAUACGCAAAUUAUGGUUUAUGGUUUCAAUUCGAAAUUAGAGUUUUAUCAAUCAAUCAGCUUCUAGCAAAUAAUCUUAAACCUUUGAUGGGUUGAAUGAACCACCAAGAGAAUGAGCUUACGUGGACUGGUACAAACUGAAACCUUACGCGGACUGGUCCAAACUGUUUGGUCCAAACUGUUUCCUUGCAGUCUGCGAGCUGAGAUCGGGUACAAGUUGAGAUCGAAAGUGAUUAGGGUUUAUCGAUAGAGAGAGAGAGAUCGAUGGAGAUUCAGAUAGAGAUCAAAAACUUAGCUUCGGUUGAGCUGAUCGGGAUCGUUGGUACGCGAGCUGGUACUUGCAAUCAAAGAACUCAUAGAUCUGGAACAGUUUGAUCAUGGACUGGAACAGGCUGAUCGUACAAUCUGGAAUAGUUGAGGCGUACUAAAACUUGCAGAGAUCAGUCCACGGAUCGAUCUUGUUGAGAUCAGUGGUCGAAUACAGAUCAGGGUCAUGAUCAAAGAGAGAGGUGAACGAUAGAGAUUAGGAUUUUAGCAAUGGAUAGAGAUUUAGGGUUUAUGGUCGAUUUUUUAGCUUAGGGUUUUAGAGAUCAAUCGUGCUGAUAACGUGUUGUGAAAGUAAUGGAAAAGUCUAUCAUUAUUCAUAACAUAGAGGUUCCUUAUAUAGGAUAUUACACCGUCAUAGGUAAAUGGAAAGAUUACAAAUCAUAAUCUCUUGGUUAUGAGCCAUUCACAAUCUGGUUCAUAACACUAAACAAAUAUAUAUACAUUAAUUGUUCUAUUCCAUAUCACCGAAGUAGUAUAAGACUAUAAUUUCACAUACAACCUCUAAAUACUAAACAUACCCCAACCCCUAUAUACUAAACCCUAAAUGUUAAUUAUUGAACCCUAAACCCAAAUAUAAACCCAAUUAUUAAAAUCUGAAAAUAGUAUAUAAUAUUAUGUAAUAUUAAACUAAACUCAUAUCUAACUUUUGAAUAAUAUAGGGCUCUAACCCAACCCACAAAUCCUAAAUGCUAAACCCAAACCUAACUUUUGAAUAUUAAACCCUAAACUGCUAUCACUAAAGCCAAACCUCAACCACCACCUUCUAAAUACUAAACCCUAAAUUCUAAUAACUAAACCUUAAACUCAAAUAUAGACCCUAAACCCAAAUAGAAUAGAACAAAAUAUAUAGUAUAGUCCAUAUUGGUGAACAAAAUAGAACAUUUUUUAUUAAUCGUCAAAUGUAAAGAUAUAUGAUAGGUCACUAAACCCAAACCUCAACCCUCAACUUCCAAAUACGAAACCCUAAAUCUUAAUCACUAAACUCCAACCCAAGUAUAAACUCUAAACCCAAAUAUAAUAGAAAAAAAGACAUAGUAUAGUACAUAUUGGUGAACAAAAUAAUACAUUUUUUAUUAAUUGUCAAAUGGAAGGAUACAUGAUAAAAAAAUAUAGUAACAGACUAUUUCGCAUCACAUAACAUGAAUAGAACAUUCAUAAUACAUAUUGGUCAUUUUUAUUCUAUACACAUAUAAUAUAAUAGAACACAGUGUUACAAGUACUGUCCAUCUUCUCUGAUCAAUUUUAGAUCAUUCACAGCGAUAAAGAUAAGUGUAACUGGCGAAAUCAGUGGGAAUAGUACAUGUAACCGCCUAGUAAACCGAAGAGAUUACGGUGAUUGAAAGAAAAGUUGAUGAACCUCGCGGCGGCGCCGUUUACGUUGUGGCGAUUCCAUAGAUUUCAGAUGUGCGAAGCUUUCCGUCAGUAGCCAAGUGAGCCGUUGCAUAUGGGCAUCUCAUUGGCAAACCUACUCCAUAAAUGGUCUUGGUGGUUACACAAUGGAUCAAUAAUGGAGAAGAAACCACUCACGUUCUACAAGCUAUAUGAUUUUCCAAAGACCACGAUAUACGUGUGUUAGGGAAUUAUUAUUAAUUUAGUUUUUUUUGUUUACAGGUUUUACCGGUUGUGUAAAAGGGAAUAUAAAAGAUACACAGUGUAUUCACUACAAGAAAACAACGGUAUUCUGACGGACAUUCCGACGGAAAAUGAAAUCCUCGGAAUAUCCCGAGAAAUUUCCGAGGAAACACAAAAUUUGGUUUCCUAGGAAUUUCCUCGGAAUAUACAAUUCCGAGGAAAUAUUAAUCCGUCGAAAUAUUCUUAUGGAAUACCGAGGAAAACUGUAUUCCUCGGAAAAAACCGACGAAUUGCGAGGAUAUAUUAUAGCCGUUAGAGAGCCGUUGGGGGAUUUUAAAAAUUUCGAGGAAAUUCCGACGAACUAGCAGUUGGUGUCGGAAUUCCGUCGGAAUUUCCUCGGUCUGUCGGCAGGAUUUCAACUAUAAAUACAAGCACCCCUCUUCCUCUUCAUUCACUCCAUAUCUUCAUCCUCCCUCUUACUCUCUUUACACACUAAUUUGAUUCAUAACUGCACCUUUCUUUUGUUUCCGAGGAUUCUUAUCUUUUGGAACCUAUUUGGUCUACCACGUUUCAUACGUUGUCUAGACUCUGUAGCAACUUGACUGUGUCUCUUCUUGGACAUCAAAUUCGUUGGUGCUUUACAAGCUGGUUUAUAUAUGACUUAGUCAUUCUUUUUCGGGUCAGCAAAUGUGUCUGGCAUUUGAUUAGCUAGCUUUGUAAAUGUAUAAUCUUUGGACAUCUAUUUCACAUUCUUUAGUCUGAUGAAUCAUUCAUUCAUUUAAUCUAAGCAGACAAUGUAAUAGAUAUAAAUUCAAGGAGAUAUAAAUCAGAGAAAGCAUACAAGCAAAGGAAUCACACAAGUUUGAUGUCGAAAUCAGAUUAUCAACUUGAUUCUUUUAGGCAAUCAUAAGUCUCAUACUCCAUAAGAUCAUCUUGAUCAUGUUCGAAAUUAUUUUCACCAUCUUUAUAGACUAAGUGGGUUUCAGGAUUUUUCCCUUUCAGACUCUCUUGGGAGUCCUUCAUAUCUUAGUCCAAUGGUUUCCCAUUCCACAUCUAUGGCACACUGAUUUGGUCGAGCUUUGUGGUUUAAAGGAUAUACCACGGCCACUGCCUUGACCAUGGCUCAAAUUGGGUUGAUACCCACGACCUCUGCCAUAGUGAUUCCCACAGCCAAAUUUGUUAUAGUGGUCAUGGCCACGUCCUUUCCACCCUCCACGGCCAUGGCCGUGUGGUCUAUCAUUCUAGACGUAGUUACCCUUUUUUUUCUGCGGCCUUAUUGGUAUCAGGUAAUGGGGUUAAUCCAAGAGGUCUCAAUUCACUGUUUCCUAUCAGUAAUCCAUUAUUUUGCCCAGCUAGCAAUAGACUCAUCCACGGACUUAUAGUCCUGGAUUCUGGGAUUCUUCCAAUCAAAUAGGGCUUUUGGUAAUAACACCGUUCUUUGGUGAUCAUAUCUCGAUUUUCUUAACUCUGUCCAAUGGCAGACUAGCAAUUGGAUCAAUAAUCAAAAAUAAUCAAACGGAUUCAAGCAUUACACAAUUUAGAGUUUCGAUCCAAAAAUAGGGUUUCAAUCAUGAAAAACCAAAACAAUCAGUUUCAAGGCUGAUUCUAUCAAUUUUGUUAAUCAGUUUCAAGGCUGAUAUUUAUCAGUUUCAAAGCUGAUAUUAGCAAGAUGGAAUCAAGCAAUCUGAUUUUAGGAAUACGCAAAUUAUGGUUUAUGGUUUCAAUUCGAAAUUAGAGUUUUAUCAAUCAAUCAGCUUCUAGCAAAUAAUCUUAAACCUUUGAUGGGUUGAAUGAACCACCAAGAGAAUGAGCUUACGUGGACUGGUACAAACUGAAACCUUACGCGGACUGGUCCAAACUGUUUGGUCCAAACUGUUUCCUUGCAGUCUGCGAGCUGAGAUCGGGUACAAGUUGAGAUCGAAAGUGAUUAGGGUUUAUCGAUAGAGAGAGAGAGAUCGAUGGAGAUUCAGAUAGAGAUCAAAAACUUAGCUUCGGUUGAGCUGAUCGGGAUCGUUGGUACGCGAGCUGGUACUUGCAAUCAAAGAACUCAUAGAUCUGGAACAGUUUGAUCAUGGACUGGAACAGGCUGAUCGUACAAUCUGGAAUAGUUGAGGCGUACUAAAACUUGCAGAGAUCAGUCCACGGAUCGAUCUUGUUGAGAUCAGUGGUCGAAUACAGAUCAGGGUCAUGAUCAAAGAGAGAGGUGAACGAUAGAGAUUAGGAUUUUAGCAAUGGAUAGAGAUUUAGGGUUUAUGGUCGAUUUUUUAGCUUAGGGUUUUAGAGAUCAAUCGUGCUGAUAACGUGUUGUGAAAGUAAUGGAAAAGUCUAUCAUUAUUCAUAACAUAGAGGUUCCUUAUAUAGGAUAUUACACCGUCAUAGGUAAAUGGAAAGAUUACAAAUCAUAAUCUCUUGGUUAUGAGCCAUUCACAAUCUGGUUCAUAACACUAAACAAAUAUAUAUACAUUAAUUGUUCUAUUCCAUAUCACCGAAGUAGUAUAAGACUAUAAUUUCACAUACAACCUCUAAAUACUAAACAUACCCCAACCCCUAUAUACUAAACCCUAAAUGUUAAUUAUUGAACCCUAAACCCAAAUAUAAACCCAAUUAUUAAAAUCUGAAAAUAGUAUAUAAUAUUAUGUAAUAUUAAACUAAACUCAUAUCUAACUUUUGAAUAAUAUAGGGCUCUAACCCAACCCACAAAUCCUAAAUGCUAAACCCAAACCUAACUUUUGAAUAUUAAACCCUAAACUGCUAUCACUAAAGCCAAACCUCAACCACCACCUUCUAAAUACUAAACCCUAAAUUCUAAUAACUAAACCUUAAACUCAAAUAUAGACCCUAAACCCAAAUAGAAUAGAACAAAAUAUAUAGUAUAGUCCAUAUUGGUGAACAAAAUAGAACAUUUUUUAUUAAUCGUCAAAUGUAAAGAUAUAUGAUAGGUCACUAAACCCAAACCUCAACCCUCAACUUCCAAAUACGAAACCCUAAAUCUUAAUCACUAAACUCCAACCCAAGUAUAAACUCUAAACCCAAAUAUAAUAGAAAAAAAGACAUAGUAUAGUACAUAUUGGUGAACAAAAUAAUACAUUUUUUAUUAAUUGUCAAAUGGAAGGAUACAUGAUAAAAAAAUAUAGUAACAGACUAUUUCGCAUCACAUAACAUGAAUAGAACAUUCAUAAUACAUAUUGGUCAUUUUUAUUCUAUACACAUAUAAUAUAAUAGAACACAGUGUUACAAGUACUGUCCAUCUUCUCUGAUCAAUUUUAGAUCAUUCACAGCGAUAAAGAUAAGUGUAACUGGCGAAAUCAGUGGGAAUAGUACAUGUAACCGCCUAGUAAACCGAAGAGAUUACGGUGAUUGAAAGAAAAGUUGAUGAACCUCGCGGCGGCGCCGUUUACGUUGUGGCGAUUCCAUAGAUUUCAGAUGUGCGAAGCUUUCCGUCAGUAGCCAAGUGAGCCGUUGCAUAUGGGCAUCUCAUUGGCAAACCUACUCCAUAAAUGGUCUUGGUGGUUACACAAUGGAUCAAUAAUGGAGAAGAAACCACUCACGUUCUACAAGCUAUAUGAUUUUCCAAAGACCACGAUAUACGUGUGUUAGGGAAUUAUUAUUAAUUUAGUUUUUUUUGUUUACAGGUUUUACCGGUUGUGUAAAAGGGAAUAUAAAAGAUACACAGUGUAUUCACUACAAGAAAACAACGGUAUUCUGACGGACAUUCCGACGGAAAAUGAAAUCCUCGGAAUAUCCCGAGAAAUUUCCGAGGAAACACAAAAUUUGGUUUCCUAGGAAUUUCCUCGGAAUAUACAAUUCCGAGGAAAUAUUAAUCCGUCGAAAUAUUCUUAUGGAAUACCGAGGAAAACUGUAUUCCUCGGAAAAAACCGACGAAUUGCGAGGAUAUAUUAUAGCCGUUAGAGAGCCGUUGGGGGAUUUUAAAAAUUUCGAGGAAAUUCCGACGAACUAGCAGUUGGUGUCGGAAUUCCGUCGGAAUUUCCUCGGUCUGUCGGCAGGAUUUCAACUAUAAAUACAAGCACCCCUCUUCCUCUUCAUUCACUCCAUAUCUUCAUCCUCCCUCUUACUCUCUUUACACACUAAUUUGAUUCAUAAAAAACAUGUCUUCUUCAAAUUAUUUUCGUUCUUGGAUCGAUCGACCUCAUUUGGAUCCGAACACGAGAUUGCUUACGGAAGAAUACCAACGAGGUAUAACCGAAUUCAUGGGGUUAGUUCACCGACAACCGGAAGCAAAAACAGGUAUGUUAAGAUGUCCUUGCUCUAAUUGUAAAAAUAGAAAGGUUAUUAAAGAGUGGGAUGUUUGGACUCAUCUAUAUUUGAGUGGGUUUACACGAAGUUACAAAAUUUGGUAUCAUCAUGGGGAAACUGAUUAUGAACAUGGUAGUACUAGCGAACCUCAGCCAGCGGUUAGAUUAGAAGAACCAAUUAGAACGGAUGUAGAUUAUGGUGUAGGUACUGAGCAGAUGGUAAAUGAUCAUUUUAGAGGGGAAGAUUUACCCAAUGCAGAAGCUAGGAGAUUUUAUGAUAUGUUGGAUGCUGGAAAGCAACCAUUGUACGAAGGUUGCAGAGAUGGUCAUUCAGCUUUAUCAUCUGCUACAAGAUUGAUGGGCAUUAAAACAGAUUAUAAUUUGGCUGAAGACUGUGUGGAUGCGAUUGCUGAUUUUGUAAAAGGUAUUCUACCCGAGGAUAAUGUAGCUCCUGGUUCAUACUACGAGGUUCAGAAACUCGUAGCUGGUCUUGGUUUAUCGUAUCAGGUAAUAGAUGUAUGCAGCGACAACUGCAUGAUUUAUUGGAGGGCGGAUGAACAGCGGGUUACAUGCAAAUUUUGUGGAAAGCCUCGUUAUAAAGAUACGAGUGGAAGAGUUCCAGUGCCAUAUAAAAGGAUGUGGUAUUUACCUUUGACGGAAAGGUUGCAGAGGUUGUAUCUGUCUGAACGCACAGCGCAACCAAUGAGAUGGCAUGCGGAGCACUCAACAGAUGGUGAGAUCAGACAUCCUUCAGAUGCAAAAGCGUGGAAGCAUUUCCAAUCAAAGUAUCCCGACUUUGCGUAUGAGAGAAGAAAUGUCUACCUUGGAUUAUGUACUGAUGGUUUCAGUCCGUUUGGCAAGAGUGGAAGACAGUAUUCUCUAUGGCCCGUCAUUCUUACACCAUACAACCUACCCCCAAACUUGUGCUUGCGACGAGAGUUUUUGUUUCUCUCGAUUCUCGUUCCCGGACCAGAGCAUCCUAAGAGAUCACUUGAUGUGUUUCUUCAGCCACUAAUAUAUGAGUUGCAACAACUAUGGGCUCAAGGUGCUGAAACAUACGAUGUUUCGUGUAAAGAAAACUUUCAAAUGCGGGCAGUACUAAUGUGGACAAUAAGUGAUUUUCCAGCAUAUGGUAUGUUGUCUGGAUGGACAACGCAUGGAAGGCUAUCAUGUCCAUAUUGUCAAGAUAACACUGAUGCUUUCCAACUAAAACACGGAAGGAAAACGUGUUGGUUUGACUGUCACAGGAGAUUCCUACCACCUGAUCAUCCAUAUCGUAGGAGUAGGAAUUUGUUUACGAAGAACAAGAGGGUGUUUGACAGUCCACCUCCGGAAAUUUGUGGGAAAGAUUUGAAGAUACAACUAAGAGAUUUUGGUGCAGAAAGGACGCCAGAAGUCGGUGGACAUGAGCGUUUUCCGGUAGAUGCUGUUGGAGAACUACAUAACUGGCACAAAAAAAGUAUUUUCUGGGAUCUGCCAUACUGGGAGGAUCAUCUGCUAAGGCAUAAUUUAGAUGUCAUGCAUAUUGAGAAGAACUUUUUUGACAAUCUCAUGAACACGAUCCUUAAUGUUCAAGGUAAAACAAAGGAUAAUUUGAAGUCAAGACUGGAUUUAGUCGAUAUAUGUGCUCGUUCAGAACUUCAUGUUGAUGAGAAUGGUAGGGCUCCUUUUCCCAUAUACCGACUUGAUGCAGCGGGAAAAGAUGCGUUCUUUGAUUGGAUUUCAAACGAUGUGGAAUUUCCAGACGGUUACGCAUCAAAUUUGCGUAACUGUAUCGACAGAAAGGAAGGAAAGUUUACUGGCUUGAAAAGCCACGAUUGCCAUGUAAUGAUGCAGCGCCUCCUUCCGUUCGCCUUCAAGGAACUAUUACCACGAAAUGUUCAUGAAGCAAUUGCAGGGAUAAGUGGUUUCUUCCGCGAUUUAUGCACGAGAUCAGUGACUCUUGAAGGUAUUGAAAAUUUGAAGACUAACAUAGCCGUGAUUCAGUGCAACCUUGAGAAGAUAUUUCCUCCCUCAUUUUUUGAUGUUAUGGAGCAUCUUGUUAUUCACCUGGCAAGAGAAUUGGAACUUGGUGGUCCUGUGCAGUAUAGAUGGAUGUAUCUGUAUGAGCGGUAUAUGUUCCAUUUGAAGAAGAUGGUGAAAAAUUUAAGUAGGGUGGAAGGUUCUAUAGUCGCACAGAUGAUCAAUGAAGAAACUUCAAACUUUGCCGAGUACUACUUUCCAGCAGAAGUUCAGACCAAAAACAGAAGACCUGCUCGGCAUGAUGAUAGAGGCGAACGGGCAACAUAUCAUGUUACGGUUCCAGACAUUUUCACAGACGUUGGACGACUUAGCGGAAAACCAAAGGACCGUCGACUUACUGAGCAGGAGCGCAGUAAUUUGCAAACAUAUUUGCUCACCAACUGCGAAGAUGUUCUUCAAUAUGAGAGGUAAAUAAAUUAGCUUACAAAUUUUUAUUUUAACAAGUUGAAAUUUAAAUCUUAAUUAAUUACAUUAUUGUCAUCAUAUGUACAGGAUUUUCAUGGCAGAAAAGAGGUUCGAAUAUAGAUACGCCACAGAGGACGAACUAGAAGAAAUUAAGCAGAGAGAAUUUUCUGGAUGGAUGUUUACUUAUGUGAGUGCUUUAAACAAAUUAAAAUAUCAGCUAUCACAUAUUUAUACUAAUUCACAUUUAUUGACAUAAUAUAUAUAUGUGCUAUUAAUAUAGGUAUCUGCUGGUUUGGCCAGAGGUGAAACAUUUGACGAUUGGAUACGCGAGAUGGUCGUUGGACCAAAAUUUGUUGUGAAGUCAUAUCCGAGAUUUUGUACUCGAGGAUAUGCAUUCACAACUCAGAAGAGGAGACGUUCGAGUACGACUUAUGAUGCUGGCGUUUGUUCUGCAUCAGGAGAUGAUGUAUACUACGGACACAUACAUGAGAUUUUGGAAAUCAAGUAUUUGGGCAUGGUUGGAUUGCGCUGUACUGUUUUCUAUUGUGAUUGGCACGACAACACUCUAGAUCGAGGUGUGAGAACAGAUGCAUUUGGUGUUACCUCAGUAAAUUCGAGGUGAAAGCUGCAAUAUUAUGAUCUCUGGCGGCUCCUCUCCCUCCUCUCCGGCGAUCUCCCCCUUCUCCCCGACGAUAUCUCCGGCGAUCUCCCCCUUCUCUUACACAAAUCAUGUAAGGACCCUAUCUCAGUCUCUUAGGUUCUAUUUGUUAGGUUUUUGUGUAGAUUUGAUAGAUUUUUGUUAGGAUGAUUGGUUAGGAUUGUGAUUUGGUUGUAUAAUAGGUUUAGAAUUGUGAUUUGGUUGAAUAAUUUGUUUUGUUGAAUUGAUUUAGAAUUUUUUUAUAAUUUUUUAAUUUUUUGUGUAGUUUUGGUAGAUUUUUGUUAGGGUGAUUGGUUAGGAUUGUGAUUUGGUUGUAUAAUAGGUUUAGAAUUGUGAUUUGGUUGAAUAAUUUGUUUUGUUGAAUUGAUUUAGAAUUUUUUUAUAAUUUUUUUNNNNNNNNNNNNNNNNNNNNNNNNNNNNNNNNNNNNNNNNNNNNNNNNNNNNNNNNNNNNNNNNNNNNNNNNNNNNNNNNNNNNNNNNNNNNNNNNNNNNNNNNNNNNNNNNNNNNNNNNNNNNNNNNNNNNNNNNNNNNNNNNNNNNNNNNNNNNNNNNNNNNNNNNNNNNNNNNNNNNNNNNNNNNNNNNNNNNNNNNNNNNNNNNNNNNNNNNNNNNNNNNNNNNNNNNNNNNNNNNNNNNNNNNNNNNNNNNNNNNNNNNNNNNNNNNNNNNNNNNNNNNNNNNNNNNNNNNNNNNNNNNNNNNNNNNNNNNNNNNNNNNNNNNNNNNNNNNNNNNNNNNNNNNNNNNNNNNNNNNNNNNNNNNNNNNNNNNNNNNNNNNNNNNNNNNNNNNNNNNNNNNNNNNNNNNNNNNNNNNNNNNNNNNNNNNNNNNNNNNNNNNNNNNNNNNNNNNNNNNNNNNNNNNNNNNNNNNNNNNNNNNNNNNNNNNNNNNNNNNNNNNNNNNNNNNNNNNNNNNNNNNNNNNNNNNNNNNNNNNNNNNNNNNNNNNNNNNNNNNNNNNNNNNNNNNNNNNNNNNNNNNNNNNNNNNNNNNNNNNNNNNNNNNNNNNNNNNNNNNNNNNNNNNNNNNNNNNNNNNNNNNNNNNNNNNNNNNNNNNNNNNNNNNNNNNNNNNNNNNNNNNNNNNNNNNNNNNNNNNNNNNNNNNNNNNNNNNNNNNNNNNNNNNNNNNNNNNNNNNNNNNNNNNNNNNNNNNNNNNNNNNNNNNNNNNNNNNNNNNNNNNNNNNNNNNNNNNNNNNNNNNNNNNNNNNNNNNNNNNNNNNNNNNNNNNNNNNNNNNNNNNNNNNNNNNNNNNNNNNNNNNNNNNNNNNNNNNNNNNNNNNNNNNNNNNNNNNNNNNNNNNNNNNNNNNNNNNNNNNNNNNNNNNNNNNNNNNNNNNNNNNNNNNNNNNNNNNNNNNNNNNNNNNNNNNNNNNUGCUCAAUCUAUUGCCUCUCUGGGAGAUCGCAUGGUAAGUUCAGCCGCUUUUUCUUCAAUUAUUUAAGUUUUGAAUUUUUUUUUUUUUGCAUUUCUUCUAAUUUCUAAUGUUUGUUUAAUUUAUUUUUUUUCAAGGCGGAAGAAAAUGAAGGCGAGCCGGUUGAUGAUCUCGCCCUCAUGAAGAGGGCGUAUACCAACAAGAAUACCGGCCAGAUUGAUGACAUCCCUGUGAGGAAAGUGGUCACCCUAGUCCAAACUCAGGUGCAAGACGAAGUGUCUCAACUUCAAACCGAGGAUGACACUUCGACGGCUUCGACCAACUUGUCCCGGUUUCGAAUCAACGAAAUCGUUGAAUCCGUAAGUUCUUUUUUUUAAAGUUCAAUUCAUUUAUUUCUUGAUUUAAAUUUGGCUAUUUUCUAUUUCAGUUGGUUCCAAAGAAGAAGGGACGUUUGAUCGGUUUGGGUCGUCGCACCCGGUCGGUUCCUCCUUCUUCUGCACCACCGCCCUUUGUUGAUCCAGAAGUACUUACGGCUCAGUUGAAGGACAAUGAUCGCAUAUGAGGCACAGAGGAGGUUGAACCAGUAAAUGAUAGAGAUGAUGCAGAGGAUGUACCCGAACGAGGUGUUCCCGAACGUGCCAGACCCGUAGUUUUUUUUUUUCAAAAACUCGGAAUGUUUUAUUUUUAUUUGCACAACUUUGAAUAUUAUCUAAUAUGUUUUCAAUUUUAAUUUUAAUUUUUUAUUUUCGAAUUUAAAUUUCAAAACUUUUAUUUUUUUAAAAAAAAUAAUUUUUUCUUAAAAUUCCGAGGAAAUGAACUCUCGGAAUAUACCGAGGGAAAUGUUCCUCGGAAUAUUCAGAGGGACUCGUUCCUCGGAAUUUUCCGAGGGACUCGUUCCUCGGAAUUUUCCGAGGGCUCAGUUCCUCGGAAAUUCCCGAUGACAAUUCCGAGGAACAUUUCGUCGGAACUUCCGAGGAUUGUACCAUCGGAAAAUCCAUCGAAAUAUCCCGAGGAAGUUUUCCUUCGGUAUAUUCCGAGGAGCUUUCCGAAGAACUGGUGGUCCUCGGAGUUUCCUGUCCAUGGCGGCGGCAGUGUGUGAGCUUAAGGGGUUGAAACGGCUCUUCACUACAAGAAAACAGCGAGAUACGGAGGGAAAAUUUCGUCGGUAUGUCGUCGGAAUAACUUUAUUCCGACGACAUACCGACGAUUUUUUCCCUCAGUAUCUCGUUGUUUUCUUGUAGUGAUUGGUGUAUUAGGGUAUUUAGACAUACAAUGAAUUAUAAUUUGUUUGAUGGUUAUGGAGCCCAAAUUCCCUUUAGUAAUCAAAUCUUUGUAAUAUCUUCCAAAAAUGAAUGUUGUUUUAGGCAUACAUCAUAAGCCGGAACGAAAAGAGAGUGAAAUAUCAAUAUUCUCAUUGAAAACUUCUAACAUGAUAAUAGACGGUAAUAUCAAAUUAGAUCAAACGUGAAAUAAACAUUUUAUUGGAACUACAACAUGUAGUUUAUUCUUUUUCUCAAACGUUAAAAAAAAAAACACAUGUAGUAACUUCAGAAACCAUAUUUUGUAUGUGUGUGUACUAAAAUAUUAUUGGAAACACAAAGGAAACAACAAUAUAGAUUCAGAUCAGGUUCAGCCAUUUUGUUCAGAUCCUUAAAUGGCUCAACGAAUUGUUCCCAUCACGUUUUCUAGCCACAUAGUGGUUGGAGGCUUCCGAAGUGGUUUCCCUGUACUUGGGAGGGUUUUCUUCUGACAAAAGCUCUUUAAUGGGUCCAUAAACUCUCGGACUUGUUGAAGGAGGAUGCACAAAGAAAGAUGCAACCGAAGUGCGUGGCUUUUUACCUCCAUUUGCCAAAACUCUAUGCUCCACACUCACAAACUUGUCAUUCGUCAUAAGCUGCAAAAAAAAAAACACUAUGAAGACCUUGUUUUCUUACUAAUUAUGGACCGUUUGAUUAUGAGUAAACAACAACUUGCCUGUAGGAGAUCUCCAACAUUAAGGAUAAGAGCAUUAGGAUUAGGAGGAACAUCGAUCCAGUAUCCAUCAUGGAGAACUUGAAGUCCUCCAAUAUGGUCUUGAAGAAGUAUAGUGAUGAAAGAUCUGUCUGUAUGCUGAGUGGCGCCGACCGUUAGGUCUGGCUGAGGACACGGCGGGUGACAAUGACAGAGCAUCAACAAGCCUUUUGCACAAUCCAUUUCUUUGAGGUGGUUAGGCUUCAGCCCUAAGGAUUCUGAUAUGAGCUCAAAUAUUAACUCCCCAAACAUCAUCACUCUCUUUGAGUAGUCCAACAUGAUCUCCCU